rnacentral:misc_RNA from 1 species
CAAACCCUCAAGCUUAAGCUUGGUAUUGGGCUUCGUCCACUCUUUCAGGGAGGACGUGCCUGAAACUCAUAGGCAGUUGUUUUCAGCUUCUCAGCGUAGUCAUAUUUUAACAUCGCUUCGAAUUUCUGGAAGUAACCCGCCGAAAAACCACCAUAUUUUUCUAAG